rnacentral:rRNA from 1 species
CGUCGCCACGGUAAUACGUAGGGUGCAAGCGUUGUCCGGAAUUAUUGGGCGUAAAGAGCUCGUAGGCGGUUUGUCGCGUCUGCUGUGAAAUCCCGAGGCUCAACCUCGGGCUUGCAGUGGGUACGGGCAGACUAGAGUGCGGUAGGGGAGAUUGGAAUUCCUGGUGUAGCGGUGGAAUGCGCAGAUAUCAGGAGGAACACCGAUGGCGAAGGCAGAUCUCUGGGCCGUAACUGACGCUGAGGAGCGAAAGCGUGGGGAGCGAACAGGAUUAGAUACCCCCGUAGUCCCUGUCUCUUAUACA